rnacentral:rRNA from 1 species
UACGGAGGGAGCUAGCGUUGUUCGGAAUUACUGGGCGUAAAGCGCGGGCAGGCGGUCUGUUAAGUCGUUUGUGAAAAUCCGGGGCUCAACUCCGGAAAUGCGUACGAUACUGGCAGGCUGGAGACUGGUAGAGGCUAGCGGAAUUCCUGGUGUAGCGGUGGAAUGCGUAGAUAUCAGGAAGAACACCUGUGGCGAAGGCGGCUAGCUGGGCCAGUUCUGACGCUCAUCCGCGAAGGCGUGGGGAGCAAACAGG